CAGUGUGUUUCGACACACUAUCAUUAACUGAAUCCAUAGGUUAAUGAGGCGAACCGGGGGAACUGAAACAUCUAAGUACCCCGAGGAAAAGAAAUCAACCGAGAUUCCCCCAGUAGCGGCGAGCGAACGGGGAGCAGCCCAGAGCCUGAAUCAGUGUGUGUGUUAGUGGAAGCGUCUGGAAAGGCGCGCGAUACAGGGUGACAGCCCCGUACACAAAAAUGCACAUGCUGUGAGCUCGAUGAGUAGGGCGGGACACGUGGUAUCCUGUCUGAAUAUGGGGGGACCAUCCUCCAAGGCUAAAUACUCCUGACUGACCGAUAGUGAACCAGUACCGUGAGGGAAAGGCGAAAAGAACCCCGGCGAGGGGAGUGAAAAAGAACCUGAAACCGUGUACGUACAAGCAGUGGGAGCACGCUUAGGCGUGUGACUGCGUACCUUUUGUAUAAUGGGUCAGCGACUUAUAUUCUGUAGCAAGGUUAACCGAAUAGGGGAGCCGAAGGGAAACCGAGUCUUAACUGGGCGUUAAGUUGCAGGGUAUAGACCCGAAACCCGGUGAUCUAGCCAUGGGCAGGUUGAAGGUUGGGUAACACUAACUGGAGGACCGAACCGACUAAUGUUGAAAAAUUAGCGGAUGACUUGUGGCUGGGGGUGAAAGGCCAAUCAAACCGGGAGAUAGCUGGUUCUCCCCGAAAGCUAUUUAGGUAGCGCCUCGUGAAUUCAUCUCCGGGGGUAGAGCACUGUUUCGGCAAGGGGGUCAUCCCGACUUACCAACCCGAUGCAAACUGCGAAUACCGGAGAAUGUUAUCACGGGAGACACACGGCGGGUGCUAACGUCCGUCGUGAAGAGGGAAACAACCCAGACCGCCAGCUAAGGUCCCAAAGUCAUGGUUAAGUGGGAAACGAUGUGGGAAGGCCCAGACAGCCAGGAUGUUGGCUUAGAAGCAGCCAUCAUUUAAAGAAAGCGUAAUAGCUCACUGGUCGAGUCGGCCUGCGCGGAAGAUGUAACGGGGCUAAACCAUG
rnacentral:rRNA from 1 species